UACGGGGGGGCAAGCGUUGUUCGGAAUUACUGGGCGUAAAGGGCUCGUAGGUGGCCAACUAAGUCAGACGUGAAAUCCCUCGGCUUAACCGGGGAACUGCGUCUGAUACUGGAUGGCUAGAGUUUGGGAGAGGGAUGCGGAAUUCCAGGUGUAGCGGUGAAAUGCGUAGAUAUCUGGAGGAACACCGGUGGCGAAGGCGGCAUCCUGGACCAACACUGACGCUGAGGAGCGAAAGCCAGGGGAGCAAACGGG
rnacentral:rRNA from 1 species